AUUGAUAGAAGAAAAUUUAAUCAUGUACAUAGUGUUGAGUUUAUGUUUCACGCAUCAUAAAUCUUUUGCAGUUGCUCAAGUUGAGUAGUGAUUGUUGCGUGAUUCCACAAUACAUGUUGUUACAUGUCCUUUGUUUCUUGAGGAAGAAGAGAUUUUAUGAGACACGACCAGGCAACACAGUUCAUGUCACAUGCUUUAUAUGAUUGUAUCAUGGCAAAAAUUUACAGCUGGAAUUUUUGCAUCAGAAACUAAUUGAUACCAACCAUGUAGCUAAUGCAAGAAGUUCUGACGAGUGACGAUGCAUGUGGAACGUGCACAACUUUACUUGGUUCAGGUCACAUGGAAAGUUACAUUUAUCUUCAUCAAGUUCAUUCAACUCCAGAACAACCGACCAAAGGAUCUGAAUAUCUUGAGCAUCCAGUUGUGCUAGAAGAUCCAGAGAAGCAGAGGAAACAGAGGAAUUCUGCAAGGAAUGUGCGGUGUGACGGCUACAAUCAUGUGGGUCCAGCAGCUAGAAGUGAGGCAGGGGAAACGCUAUGAAGAUCUGUAUAUUAGCCACUGUUUACCUUCCAUCUAGUGAACUUUUGUACCCAAAAAGUUCAUGAAAUAUUCAUCAUCGAACUGCCCAUAGUAGAGACCACAUUGUGUCAGAAAGUACAGAAAUUAGUAAUAGAGCACUACAUUGUGUCUGAAAGUACAGAAAUUAGUAAUAGAGUUUCUGUGUUGUUGACCAUGGUUAAUUGAGAUCCUAGCAUGACAUAAUUUUUUACAUCCUGUAGCUAUAUAUAUAAAAGGAGUAUCAGGGCAAGAGAGAUGCAAGUAGAAAGAAAAGAGCGAUGCUGUCAUAUGAACGAGUUUGAUGGCUCUGUAUCUUCUAAAGUUACAGAAUGUUGGAUAAAUGAGAAAGGAUUGAAAGGCAUCGGUAUGACAAAGCACUGUCUGCACGAUGUUUAUUGGUUGAUUAAGUGACGCUGCAAGAAACAGGUCCAAUCCGAAGUAGGGACACGUUGCAUUGUCGUCAGGAGCUUUCUGGUUUCUCGUCCUCUACUCCUGUUUAUUGGAAUCCAACCAAACCAAGGGGUAUGAGAAAAUACUAUCUUCCGUUUGUUGAGGAUUUUUUAUCAUCAUCAUCAUAUUGAAA